rnacentral:lncRNA from 1 species
GGGCCAGGGGGUCUCCUUAUAUAGUCCUCCCCUUCUAUGCAUUUUUGGUUCGAUAGGCGAGGUGGUACUAUGUUUUCCUUGAUCCAAUAGGUCGGUGGAACAUCCCGUGCGAAGAGAGUCCUGACUAGCAUCCAACAGGGGGCGGGCGCCCAGGUCACCAGGGCGGGCGCCCUGGGCCUUGCCCCUUUCGGCCUCCGCUUCCUUCCCGUGGCUUUCUUCCGUAUUUCCUGAUAACCCCCUGCAGAAAUAGACAAACACCAAAACUCGUGGAAUUCUGUCAGAUAAAACCCUAAGUCUAGAUGUUGAUUUCAUUUAGAUCCUUUUCUUUGUUUAUUUGGUAAUUAAAUUUGAUACUUAAGGACCGUCAACAAACUCCCCCGAGCUUACCUCUUGCUCGUCCCUGAGCAAGGAUAGACUUCGCUAUGGAUCAGAAGUUGUUGCAAUAUCUUUAAAAAUUGACGGUACACAUGCUUCUUAAAUAAGAUCUCAUCUCUGAGUUAGAGUAAACUGUCAAGACUUAAAACUUACUUACUUUACCUUCACCAUGGGACUUGUAACUGUCACUUCUGUCUUGAGAGGUUAAAAGAUAGAACAGUCUAGCCAAGUGCCAUGUCUCUUAUUCUUGAUCAGCUAUAGCUCUAGGUUUUUGCAGAUUUUCAAAUAAAACUCAAAGAUUCCUUGUAUGACUCUCUCAUAUCUCUCUUUUGUGGUAUUUCUGGAUCCUUACCAAGGCAUUGAUGGUAUAUGCCUUCUCUCAAGAUAUGUGGUAUUUUAUGGUAUAAGGCAUAGUGAUAUUGCCUUCUCUCUCACCCUACUCUAAUAAGGCUUGAUAUCUGGAGCUCAUAGGUGGGAGACAGUUAAUACAUACUUACAAGACAUUUAUUGCAUAGUGAAGCCAUGGAUCCAGAGAAACAAAUUAAUAAGCCAAAUCAAGAUUUGCAUGUGUGGCGAAUGAAUGGUGUAUGGUGAUGAUGGUAAUAACAAUGGUGAAAGUCUAAUUCUACUUUUGCUCUUUUGAGGGGUUACAUACCUUCCUUGCUUUUUGAAACUUUAUGAAGAGAAUGAGAUGCUCUUCUUUUUCUUUCCUCUCAGGUGGGUAUCUUGUACCCCUAAUUCUACUGUCGGACACUUGUCCAUUUUUACCUCUCAUCUCACUUUUUCUUUCUUUCGAGGUUCCGGGCACUUGCCCCUUUUUAUUUCCUCGUUUAUAUAUAUUUUUUUUUCUCUUUUCUUUCUUUUUUUUUCAGAACACUCAUCUCUUGAGAUAAUAUAGCAAGUGGUAGUAACCAAAAUAUUUGGAGCAUUUAUUUCACAGGGAAUUACAGGGAUAGGAAAAUGUUUUUGACUAUUCUCUCCCGGAUUAGGAGUAGAAUAUUUUUGGGUGAUUCAGGAGAUGGAAAUGGAUGGAUAUAUGUGGAUGGUACUUCCGGAGUAGAAGUAGCAUAUAUGAGUGAACGUGCAAGUGAAUCUUGAUUUAACCACAUGACAAGCUCCUAAGGGUCUACACAGCUUGACCACACUCAACGCUCAUAAGCAGUAAAUAGUAAAUGUGUGGCUCAAAGUCUAGCAAGCAUGUAUAUAUGGCUGUGGUAGGAAUUUAAACUCUCAUCAUACAGGAACUCAUCAUGCAAUAUUUUAAAGAUUUUUCAAGAUAAAAUUUUCCAGAAUUCUAGCAUCUCUAGGAACAGAUAAACAGCAACUCAACCUUCCCAUAUUAUAUCCGUUAACAACUUAGAUUUUAGAUCAAGUUUUCAUCCCACAAGUUUAGAUCUAGAGCAAGCUUUAAAUUAUAACAGUUAUGUCUAAACUUGAGAGAGAACUUCAAAAUUGCAAAUUAGGCAGAGCAACUAUUCAUCAUAUCCAUGCUAGAGUUUUAUUAUUAAGAUUCAGAUUAGCAUAGCCACUUUAUUUAUUUAUUAAACAUACUAAGCAAAAUAUAUAUAGGCACAAAAUCUUUAUUUGGUUUUUCAUAGUUUAUGUAUUUUAAUAUUCUAACAUAAUAUAAGUAUAAAGAUAGGUAGAAAUACUUAGCAGAAUAAUGGGGGUGCUCUCCCCCAAGCUGAUUUUUGACGUAAUUUCUCUUGAUGUAGCUAGCAGGUGGCAGAGGUGUAUUUGAAAGUCAGCAGCAUUUUGACAGCGAUUAGAAUGUCCUCCGUCUGCUAGUCUUCUUGAUUCUUAAAUUUUGUGGAGCUCAAAUAGACAACAAAGCUUGUGAAACUAAUUAAGUGUUAGCAUAAAUAUCUAGCCUUCAUCAUGUUAAGCUUCCUUAAUAAAUGUUAUUUAUUUAGCAGGAUCAUACACUUAUUAUAUAUAUAUAUAUAUAUAUUUAUAUUUUUUUAUUGUAAGAUGAAAACUUAUUUAUUUUAUUUUUAUGCCACCACAGUGAAUGUACUUAUGGGUUUUAUGAGCAUACUCACAUGGGGCUUACUAUUUUUUAACAUUUUUAUUUUCUUUUCAAGAUAGCAUGAACCUGAUUAACUAAGCAAAUUAUAAUUGAAUAAUUGAAAGAAAAGGGUAACUACCAAGUUUACCUCUUGGCAAGGCGUUCGGUGUUUUUAAGUCCUCCGAAUGGGACUCCUUGUGUUUUCAGUCGUCCUGGGAUUCGCUGGAUGGCGUAGUCGGUGGUUCCGGCGGCGCCUCCUCUUCGUGUGUAACUAUCUUCUCUCUCCACACCUAACUCGGUGCUACGGUCUCCUCAGGACAGUUAUGUUCAAGCUGUAUGUCUUCAGUCCUUAUCACUUCUCCUUCGUAGUCUACCCAUCCGUCCUUGAUGAUUUGCCUCCUCUGGUUGCGGUUGUGUUGUCUUCUUCUUGUCCUGACCUGUUUAGAAUCUUCCACUAUAUAGUUAGAAUCAUUAAAGUAGUGGUGUACCUUCUCAGAGGGGAAGUGCAUGUGAACUUCUCCAGUUCCAAUAAAGAUGAUGGCUUUGAUAGCGUUUGAGGAACGGUCGUCUAAGAAUGGUAGGUAGAUCGUACUCGUCUUCUCCCAUGUCAAUGUUCUGAAAAUCAUCUGGAGCAAUAUAUAUUGGUUGUAGGGGCAUGGUUCCAUGCAGGAGCUGAUAAGUGACUGCGGUCAUUAUGUUGACGUCAGAUCUGGUGUCGUAGAGUGUUUUCUAAAAAGAGUAUCCAUUGAUUGUGCACUCGAUGCUUAGAACACUAGGGUCGUCCUUCUUGAUCAAGAAAGGUGACUUGAGUCGAUGAUGUUGACCUCUUCCGACAAGGAUCCAAUGUUUUAAGUCUUCUGGACAAGACUUUCCACCAUCUUCAUCCUUUAGGUGCAUCAUUUGAUUCGGUGUGGACCUUGACGUCUGCACCUCUUGAUACGGUGUCAUCCAUGUUCUUCUUUGCCCAGCAGUUUGAAGUAUGGUGUUAGCAAUAUCCUGCUCAGUGUGUUUGUGCUCAUAGAUCCAGGUCCUUUACUUGGUGGAGUCUGGGAGUUGUAAAACUCCUCCAUGUUUUGCUUGAAGUGUACCUGUUCAUAGAGACAAGGUAGAGAUCAAGUGCAUGGGCUCUGUUGGUGGAGAACACCAACAGAACCAAAAGUGUAUUUGUUUUUCUCUAACCUUAAGUAUAGUGAGCAAGACAAAGUUGAUGGAUAAUAAGAUCAUGAGUGUAGUAUUUGAAACAUUUGUCAGAUCAGAUGGCUCAACCUAAUGGAAAGAUAAUCUAUCUAUAUUUAUAUUUUGUUUAUAUCUUCCAAAUAUUGAAUGUGCAACAUAUUAGCUUAUAUGUUUAGGAGCGUGGGAUCACAAAGGUAGUACUAAGAACAAAGAUUAAAGGACUAAACAUGUUGAAUUAAUUGAGUUGGUUAAUCUGGAGUUAUAAAUCAUACAUGUUUGUCUCUUUAUUUAUGUGAAUGCUAGAACUAAGGAGAAGUUUAUAAAAGCGAUAGUCAAGUACCUUAAGGUGUUACCUUACUAAAAGAGUGACGGUACAGUAUCACCUUGUGGAAGCUUUCCUUUCUUAGCGGUUGUGCAUCGUGUUUGUGGCACCCUCCAUGAAUCAUCUCUUAUGAGCCACGUCUUUCUUGUGCAAAUUGUUAAACUUCCUGUGUCACUUUCUUCAUCUCCAAUGCGAGUUUAUCUCAGGACUUCCCAAGUUGAUAUUGAAAGUUUUCCUGCAGGGGUUAGUCCAACAAAAUAUCCCAUAUCUACUAUAGCAUACUAUCAGCUUAAAAAUCAACCUAGACACCAUGUCUAAUUUGAUUUAGAAGGGCAUUUUAACCUAAGCACCAUGCUUAAUUUAAAAUCCCUUGGAAGUAAGAUCAUCAUUCCUAAACUAAGCACCAUGCUUAAUUAAGAGAUAAAUGAAACUAUUCCAAACCUAGACAUAUACUAAAGCAAAUAAAGGUAGCAUGAGAGCAUUUAUAGAGAUCUACUUAAGUGGAGAUGAAGUAGUGUAAUUAGUAUUUAACAAAUUGAGCAUGUCUCAAAGGUAAGGACAACCAAUGUAGCAACAUGGCAAAAGAUGUUUUUAUGUAAAGUACUCCCCCAAGCUUGAAUUUUACAAAAUUCAAGUUUGGAUGAAUUUAAUUCAAUGUUGUGUGAUGGUUGGUUGGACAUACCCUGUGCUUGUCAUUCAUCCGAUCUUCCAAUCCUAGAAAGGUUAGUGACAAGAAUACCCGAAGGAAUAUUUCUACAAUUAUCUUUAUAUGCUCAAUACACAAGGCAAUGUUGCAAAUAAUUAGAAGUUCAUGUUAUGAUCUGAUAAGUGCUUGUUUAAGGAUGCUAAGCUUAUCCUUGGGAAACCAUCAAGUUAUGUUGGUGAAGUGGUUUCCCCUCCAACACCAACCUAAGCGUGUCUAUAUCAAGAUCAACGAGAUCUGCAAUAUUUAUUAUAGACAUAUGCAUCGACAACCGCCCUUUUAAAGUUUUUAUAAAUGAAGAGGAAGAGCGGGUUGGAGAUCUCAAAUGUGGUAAGGAUGGAGAGACAAAUUGAUUGGAGAGAUGUUUUAUAUGAGCAAGGACUGGGUGAGGUAUUUAUGAAAUAACUUCCAUGCUCACUGUUGUUUCUCUCAUUCUUAAACUCCAAGAAUGAUUCUUCAUAAAUGCUUAAAACUCCUCUAGGAUUGUCUCUCAAGUUUGUUUUAUCUAUCCAUUCAAUGGUGAUAGCACAUGGAUUUUUAAUGCCCUCUAGCCAUUGAUGUUGCUCUUCUCGAUCCUCCUUAUGCAUGGGAUGUCUAGAGAGAUUCAUAGGAUUAUCGGGAGGUUCAAGAGAAAAAGCAUAGUAGAAAUUAUUAAGCUCAAGGAUGGGUUGGAUAGCCGAAUUAUGGGAUUGAAAUGUUUGGAAAUCGGCAAUUGAAACUUCCUCUCCUUGUAUGGGAGAUGAUUCCUUCUCUAUCUCUAAGAUUUUUCUAUGAAGACUAGUGCAAGAAGGAUGUCUACGAAUGAAGACAUACCUUCCUUUACUAAUAGAUAAAGAAAGAAAGACUCUACCAAAGGGUAUAUGAUUAAGACCAAUGUGAAAAUAUCUAGGAAAAACAUGGUCUUGUAGGGCUAGGUCUAAACCAGAAUUUAUAGAAAAAUUAAAAGAUUCCCUAGGUGUAGCUAAAAGUGCAUUAUCUUUUUGAUUAAAAGAUAGGACCUCAGCUAUAUAAAAGGGUUGGUUUUGACCUAUUGCAAUCAACUCCGGACACAGAUCAUAAUUAGGGGCAGGACGUGUUGACUCCCAUGGUCUAUGGCUGGUCUCCGAAGGUGCAAAGAAUUUAAUAAUAGGUAUGGAAUUUGAGUUAUCCAUAAAGAUAAAAAGAUAAAAGAAUAAAAGUAUAAAAGUUUAAUACAAGAUAAUAGCAAGACUCAAAGUUAUCUCAGCAAACCGUCUUUCUCCCCGGCAACGGCGCCAGAAAUGCUUGUUGAUAUUUGGUAACGCAAUAAGGAAAUGAUCCGCAAGCGCACGGAUAUCGGUGAGCAUUUCAGCCCGGAGGUUAUCCAGGGUUAUCGUAUUUAUAUUUUUACCACUGGGAGAAAGGGUGCAUCUGACUAACCAAAUCUAUUGCUACUAUCCCUUUAGGCACAAAGAAUGUCUUUCGAUGUGAGUGAUAAAUAGAGAAGACUGCAACCGUAGUCUCCUUCUAACCUUGGUAAGGAUGAUCUACUGUUCUAAUGGGAAGGCUAACGGAAUCUAGACACCACAAAGGAUGUUCAACCCACACCUAUAAACCCUAUCCUUCCUGCUAACGAGAUGUGAUCUACAAAGGUAACUCAGAAUUGUCACGUUCCUCACUACUACCACGGUCCAGCUAGUCAGGGAAUAUCUAUGAGUACCCCAGCCUAAACACCACGUUUACGCCAGUAAUGAUUACUCUAAACUCUACGUGAAGAGAUUAAAGUAAACUCAUAAACCAUAAGAACAAUAAAACAAGAACUUACUAGAAUUUAGAAGUCAAAAUACUGAAGAAUCCUAGGAGCAAGCUUCAGGUUAGGAGAACUUGAUCCCGCAGGUACAAGCUUGGAGUAGACACCGACAGGCCGGGCUUCCUCCAAUCUACACCUCCACUCUAUCUCUCUCAAUCUAGUAGAAACUAGAAGAUCUAUUUCUACCUUACAUUGGUUGCUAAGCCUAAAAAGAAAUAUUAAUUAGAGAAGAGGUUUUCCUUCGAGGGCACCCCUCAGUCUCUAUGAUAAUUUCUUCAUGUCUUCUCCAGGGGCCAGGGGGUCUGUUGAUGCAAAACUGAUCUGCAAACACAAAGGGCUAAUACCCGAUUCAAACGUUAAGGCAUGCCAGCCGAUUUGACCUUGCUAUCGGCAAAGGUGAUAACUCGAAUACUUUAGUCCUGACAACAGCGAUGCGCCCGGAUGCCACGGCUAAGAGGUAUUCACGCGGAACUCGAGAACACGCCGAGCUUAAGUCGACGAAUUCCUAAGAACUCGUAAUAAAAAGAAAAAAGUAUGACGAAGUCGUCGAAAAAGUAGAUGCUGGAAUAUGAGUAAAACGUGUGUUUGAUUGAUUUCUUGAUAUCUUGAUUACAAGGUCCUAGGGUUUAUAUUUAUACCCUGCUCAAAGAGCUACGACCAGACACGAUUAGAAUUCGAAUUCCAAAUUACACGGAAUCCGUAUACAAAACGAUGCAAAUAACUAAGGAAAUAAUAAAACUAUCCUUCGUGACAAACCGAAACUCCUCCAGAUGACAACUGGCAACUUCCGGACUCCUCCUUCGCGUCAUCGGCAAUCCCCUUGCCAUAGUCAUCGGCAGACCUUUUUACCCAGCCAUCGGCACCAUAUUACUGCCUGUGGACUUAGUCACAUUCAACCUCUCCCUCAUCGGCAACCAUCCUCAUCAGCAACCCGCAUUGUACUGCCACCCUAUCCUGCCAUCCUGGACACGUGCCCAAAAACGGUGUCAACACAUGCCCCCCAGUUUCGGAGUAUAAAACUAUUAAUGCUCCGAAAUUCUCUGCAGUAACGAUGCCUUCUCCGCAAUUAAUGCUCCUAAUCUGGUAACCGACAACCUCAAUUUGGACAACUCUGAUCCUAAUCCUCCGCAGAUUCCUCGAAAUCCCCAACUUCCUAAACGGGCAUCUCUCUUGGUCGUACAUCGGCAACAAUUCCGUUAUAAAGAUCUGCCAAUGCUCUGACCAGGAUAUUCGCAAAAAACGGUUACCCCCCGUCUAUCCGCCCAUCGGCAAGAUGACCGUUAUAGAAUAUCGCCGAUGGACCGACCAGGAGAUUGCGCACAGUAAAAUAUCUUUAGAUAAUGACCGCUUCCUGUCAAAUCACCUGCACAAUCCCUGGAUUACCGUGCGAACAGUUACCAUAUCCACCUGAGUACCCUCGGGCUUCUCGGAUGCGGCAAAGAGAUAAGACGGAUUUGCCCUUGCCCAUCUUGUCCUAUAAAUAGUUCCUUCUUGGGUACUCCUCCCCCAUUACACCAUUCUACUAUCCAACUCUGCUUUUCCAGCGGCGGCGCCAUCUACAACCCUCAAGACCUCCGACAAGCAUUCUUCUUCAUCAACUCCAGUGCCCUCCAACGUCCUCUUCACGACAAGAUGGCCAUUGGCUUCGUCGUCCCUGAGGUCAGACUUCCAUCCCAUCUGCUGUACCUUUUUCUCGCAUUCCUGUUCAUCUGCGAUUCAUCUUACCGAAUAUUUUCCUUUUCCUUUUUCUUUGUAUUUUUAUUCCCCAAAACACUAGGAGUUGUCCAACAAAAUUGUUAUCCCUACCGAUCAACCACACCUUCAGUGCCUCGGCCCUCUAGGGGAUCCAGAUCCAACCGACCUUAUCAAUGCAGAAACCAACAGGAUUCCCUUUAGAGCUGAAAACUUUUCUUUAGAUCUGUGGAAAGACACCUUUCGUUCUUGGCCCAGCCCUACUGUAGGGUGGAAAGAUUGGUUCUUGAGGGUCAGCAAUUCUUAUGACGUUCAAUGGGGUGAGAGGAAGCUAGCUCAAUGCAUUAGGCUAUCCAUUGCCGAUAUGCACAGGAACGAGUCAUUGCUGAUAGCUGCAUCCUACUUUUGGUCAGACACUCUCAAUGCUUUUGUUUUUGGCCACGGCCCUGCUUCUCCUACCCUUGCCGAUGUAGCCAUGCUUACUGGGCUAGAUAUAUCUUCUGCCGAUAGCACCCACUUUUUUGAUACCGCCCCCAGUGCCAAAGUGGAGACUCGCGCUAUCGGCGGUUGGUCAGGGUACAUCCAGAAGUACCGCGGAAAAGGGCCUGUCACCAUAAAGGAGCAAACCACCUUCCUGAACAUGUGGCUGGACAAGUUUGUAUUCUGUGGUCGAUCGGCAGGACCGACUUCUGUCUAUCUAUCGGCAGCAGAAAGACUGGCUAGCGGCGGCCAAUUUCUUCUCGGCCGAUAUCUGCUCGGCGCUGUUUACCACCUUCUUCAUCAGGUAGCCCAGAAACUCCUGCUUGGCCAAUCCAUCGGCAACUUGGGAGGCCCCUGGUGGUUUAUUAAUAUGUGGCUCAAUCUGCACCUGCAUAAGCGCCUUGAUUUCAACUUGUUCUCACAGCACUUCCCAAGAGAUAUAGCCGAGAAUCAUGUGUUAGGUGAAGAGGAAUCGACAACGCGUGCCCCCUUGAACUUUGGUGAAGCCGUUAUAGUCUUACCCGGUUCAGGGAACAAUCCGGAUCAGAUCGGCCGAUUCUUCGAAACUCUGUAUGAGGGUCUGGCCAGAGAUGAACGACCAUGGCUGGCUUAUGACGACCCAGACAGCAUGCUCCCUCUGACCUUCAAUCCAUUUGAUGAAGCUCUUGACAGGGAUAAUGAGGUGAUGAUGGCAAUCGUGACUCUCAGAGCCAUACCAGUGAAUUUCUUCGGUAGCACGAAAACCUCCCCCCAAACCUAUGAAUUUUAUAAUCCAUCGGCAUUAGCUCGUCAGCUAGCUUUCGGCCAAUUGCCGAUUGCACUUCCUUAUGCCAAUGUAAUAAAGCCCAGAGAGCCCAUCGCCAACCUCCUCGAGUGGACUCGAGUAGCCCAGCUACCACCAAAUGCCGAUACAGAUGUAGAUCUGUCAGAAUGGGUUCCAGCCGCCUUUAUCACUCAGGCAUACAAGCUAUGGUGGGCAGAAUGGAAAGAGAAUCUAUUCUGCAGAUCGGCCCUCUCAUACCGCUGCAUGAUCGACCCCGAAUACGAAGUCCCUGAUGACACUGUAAGUAUUUUAAACCGAUGUCUCAUUUUCCAAUACUAUUCCCAUCGGUAACUUACCCCUGUAUUCCUUUUGCGGAUUGACAACACCCCCCCAUCGGUUAGCAGGAGUGGCAAGCCGAUCGACUUAUUCCCAUCAGGCCCGAUCUCUUCAAUCGGCCAUAAUGCUCCCACUCUGGCUUCCAUCGUGCACCGGGGUGCGCGUCUCAAGAAAGUUACCACCAGGAAAACUCAGACAUCACCAACGGUAACUGCUUCCACUCUGGCGCAAGCUUUCAAGGCAAUCUGUUAAAACCUUUUUCAUUUAUACUGACUAUCUUUGUAUCGGUUAUCUGUGCUCAUAAACUCCUUUUUGUUGUUGCAGCAAACUGGUGCAUCGGCAAAAGCCAAACGCCAAGGUGCUGAUGCCCCCCAAUCUAGUCAGCCAAAGAGGAAGGGCACCCAAGGUGCUAAGGCUGGAACAAAGCGCCAGAAAGUGGCAACUCCUCCUCCUCCGAUGUCCCCAAUCCCGGUGGAAUCUUCCCCUUCUCCUCCAGAAGUCCAGGCACAGCAAGCACCAUCUCCCCAACCAAUACAGGAAGCACCACAGAUGGAAGAACCCCAGCAGGAAGAACCUCAAACGGCAGGUACAUCAGCUGACGUAGGUGAACAAACAACUGGCCCGGCAGGCCCAGUUAUAUCAUCGGCGGUUUCCCCGACUCAGGCAGCUGUUCUCUCUCCUCCGGGUAACAUAUCUCAACAAUACUUCCGCCGAUAAACUUAUUCUCAUUUAAUCUCAUAAUCCUUCCUGUCUUCUUUCAGGCGAUAUCGUUCCAUCGGCAACAUUUGCCGAUCAACCUGUAGCUCCAUCGGCAUUUUUGAGUCAAAGGCAAGAAAUCACCUUGAAGCAAGUAAGUCAUCCAAUUUUCCACCAGUAUCGUCUGCCGAAGUUUUGACCAUAAAACUGACUUAUUUCAUCUUCAUUUUCAGGAACAAGAUUCUCCCAACAGCUUAUUCUCCUUCGCCAUUGAUAUCUUCGAAGAAGAAGGCGAGGAAGCAAGCUCCUCUCGGGCAGUUGGAACUGUAUCGGCAGAAACCAGAGCUAAGCUGGAAGAGUUAUCGGCCAUACUUCAUCAAGACACAACUCAACUGGUCAACGAUUCUGACCCAGCCAAAGCUCUGUUCAAGACCCUUAGAGGCCAAAUUCCUGCUGAUGCUGAAGAAACACUCUUCCAUGCUGCACACCUAGAAAGCCGCCAGCUACAGUACGAGAGAGCCACUCGACGCCUUGCCGAUAGAGCCGCUCAAAUCCAGUUUUCUGAGGAGAUGAUGAAAGAAAAGCUCUUAGCCGAUGAGAAACAUAAGAACAUCGGCACCUUAAAAUCCUCAGGUGAUGCACUGAAGCAGAAAGUGUCUGAUCUAUCGGCAAAAAGAGAAGCUCUACUGGCCGAACUCAAGCAAGUAGAGGACGCUCUGUCCCAAGCCCAGCAAGAAGAGAGUCAACUGCCGGAGACCAUCAAGCACCUUGAACAAGAACGAAACGUCCAUGGUCGCAAAGCGCUGCAGCUGAAGAGGAAGCUGAAGCCGAUAGAAGGUUCUGCCGAUGAUGAUAUCAAAGAGAUAGAGACAGCCAAUCAGAUUCGGCUGCGCGCCAUAUCAGCAAUCCAAGCGCUGCUGAGCAUCUGAAGCUUUCACCGGCAACACACCUUUGUUUUUGCGCUUUUAGCUUUUAGUCUAGCCGAUAAGACUGUUAUCGGCAUCUCUUGAAACAUUAAGUCUGCCCUCGAACAUUUAAAUCCAGCCGAUAGGAGUGUUAUCGGUACUUAAACUUUUAUGCGUCGACCCAUAUGCUGGGGUAGUACUUCUUUAAAUAUUUGCCAUUUAAUGCUCUGGGAAAUUCAACUCCCUCGAGAGUUUCUAGAAUAUAGGCAUUACCAGGAGCUGAGUGUCUUAUCCGAUAAGGACCUUCCCAAUUAGGAGACCACUUUCCAAACUUCGAACUUUUAGUCCCAACUGGCAAAAUCAACUUCCAUACCAAAUCCCCAUCGGCAAACUCCUUAGCCUUUACUUUUUUAUCAUACCAUCUAGCAACUCUCUUCUUAUUUUCUUCUAUACUCAUUAAAGCCUUUAACCGAUGCCCUGCUAAAUCAUCUAACUCAUCGGUCAUCAAAGUGUCAUAAUCAUCGGUAGCCAAUUGAUCUUGAAAAGAUAAUCGCCUAGAUCCAGCCUUAAUCUCCCAAGGCAACACUGCAUCAUGUCCAUACACCAAUUGAUAGGGUGACACCUUGGUUGAUCCAUGACAAGCCAUCCGAUAAGACCACAGUGCUUCAUUUAACAAUGUAUGCCACCGCCUAGGAUUUUCUUCAAUCUUUCGUUUAAUAAGCUUGAUAAUUCCUUUGUUAGACGCUUCGGCCUGCUCGUUGGCUUGAGCAUAGUAAGGAGAAGAAUUCAACACUUUAAUUCCCAUACCGAUUGCGAAUUCAUCGAACUCCCCCGACGUGAACAUGGUGCCCUGAUCGGUAGUAAUCGUUUGGGGAAUCCCAAAUCGGUAAAUAAUAUGCUCCUUCACAAAAUCAAUCAUAUUGGCCGAUGUGACUUUCUUCAAAGGAAUAGAUUCGACCCACUUAGUGAAAUAGUCAGUGGCAACCAGAAUGAACUUAUGCCCUCUGCUAGAUGGUGGAUAAAUCUGGCCGAUCAGAUCGAUGGCCCACCCCCGGAACGGCCAAGGUUUUAUUAUAGGAUUCAUAGCCGAUGCGGGUGCUCUCUGGAUAUUACCGAACUUUUGACAACCUUGACAUCCCUUAAAAUAUUUAAAACAAUCUUCAAGUAUGGUUGGCCAAAAAUAUCCAUUCCUUCGAAUCAUCCACUUCAUCUUAAAAGCUGACUGAUGCGCUCCACACACUCCUUCAUGGAUUUCCCCCAUCAAACUUCUGGCUUCAUCAUCACCCAAGCAUCGGAGAAGAAUUCCGUCGAUAGUUCGAUAAUACAAUUCAUUUUCAAGGAGCACAUACUUGGUCGCUUGAAAUCGAACCCGUCUUUCAACUUUUUUAGAUGGAUCUUUUAGAUAGUCGAUAAUUUCUUUCCUCCAAUCACCGGCGCUGACUGCCGAUGUCGCAUUAAUCAUUGGCUGAUAUCCUGAGGCAUGCUGGGCUAACCGAUUAGCGUCUUCAUUAUGCAAUCGGGGAACAUGCUCCAAUCGGAAGUUCUUGAAUUCCUUUAACAGUUGCAUACUUCUCUCGAAAUAGGUUAUGAGAACUUCACUUCGGCAUUCAUAGCUUCCGGCCAAUUGAUUUAUAACCAACAUGGAAUCCCCGAAUAUUUCAAUAGCAUCAGCACGAACUUCUCUUAACAACUCCAAUCCCUUGAUCAAAGCUUGAUACUCAGCCUGAUUAUUUGUUGAUGUAGCAACAAUCGGCAAGGAAAACUCAUACUUCCUCCCCUUAGGAGAAACCAAUACAAUGCCGAUUCCUGCCCCCCGGUCACAAGUAGAUCCAUCAAAGAAGAGCGUCCAGGGUGCAAUUUCCAAGGUUUCCACUAGACCGCAAUGCUGAGUCACAAAAUCGGCCAUGAUCUGCCCUUUGACUGCCUUAGCCGAUUCGUAACGCAAAUCGAACUCCGACAGCGCUAAAAUCCAUUUACCGAUCCUACCACUCAUAAUCGGCAUAGAUAGCAUGUAUCGGACCACGUCAUCUUUGCAAACAACAGCACAUUCAGCCGACAACAGGUAAUGUCUCAGCUUGAUACAUGAAAAAUAUAAGCAUAAGCACAGUUUCUCAAUGGCCGAAUACCUGGUUUCAGCAUCAAUCAACCUUCUACUCAAAUAAUAAAUUACUCUCUCUUUCCCUUCAAAUUCUUGAACUAAAGCUGAACCGAUAACCGAUCCAUCGGUAGAUAAAUAUAAUUUGAAGGGUUUCCCUUGUUGAGGUGGAACUAAAACUGGAGGAUUUACUAGAUACUUUUUGAUUUCAUCCAGAGCCAACUGCUGUUCUUCUCCCCAAACAAACUCUUGAUCGGCUUUCAAUUUAAGAAGAGGACUGAAAGCACGAAUUCUCCCAGAUAAAUUCGAUAUAAAUCUUCUGAUAAAAUUCACCUUGCCGAUCAAGGAUUGGAGCUCAGUUUUAUUAGUAGGGGCCACUAUUUUAUUGAUGGCAUCAAUAGAUCUUCGACUAAUUUCAAUACCCCUCUGAUGUACCAUGAAACCAAGAAACUGCCCUGCCGAUACGCCAAAUGCACACUUGUUGGGAUUCAUCUUCAAUCCAUGCUUCCUUGUGCACUCCAACACUUUUCGUAAAUCGGCAAGAUGCUUUGAGAAAUCUCCAGACUUAACCACCACAUCAUCGAUAUAAAUUUCUACGAACUUGCCGAUGAACUCAUGAAAUAUAAAAUUCAUGGCCCUUUGAUAAGUAGCACCAGCAUUCUUUAACCCAAAAGUCAUGACUAUCCAUUCAAACAGUCCAACAUGACCAGGACACCUGAAUGCGGUUUUUGGAAUAUCCUCCUCCGCCAUGAAUAUUUGAUUAUAACCCGCAUUACCAUCCAUGAAGCUGAUAACCCGAUGGCCAGCCGCAGCAUCAACCAGUAGAUCGGCGACAGGCAUUGGGUAUCCAUCCAUCGGCGUAGCUUUAUUGAGAUUCCUAAAAUCAAUGCACACCCGAAGCUUCCCGUUCUUCUUGUAAACCGGAACAACAUUGGAAAUCCAUUCGGCAUACCGACACUGCCGAAUAAACUUAGCUUCAAUAAGUUUAGUGAUUUCGGCCUUAAUAUCAGGUAGAAUGUUAGGAUUACAUCUGCGGGUUGGUUGCUGAUGUGGCCGAAAUCCGGACUUGAUGGGUAACCGAUGUUCGACAAUUGAUCGGUCUAAACCAGGCAUCUCUGUAUAAUCCCAAGCAAAGCAGUCUUUAUAUUCCUUUAACAAACUAAUCAGUUGUCGCUUACACUCAGGAUCUAAUUUAGCACUAAUAAAAGUAGGUCUAGGCUUAUCACCACUACCUAUAUCUACUUCUACCAAAUCAUCGGCCGAUGUGAACCCCUGGCCUAAUUUUCCAUCAUCGGCGAAUCUAUCCAUUAAAAACCGUCGUCAGAACCGACUGCUUGGAUCGGUGGAAUCUCAUAAUCGGCAACUUUGAGAAAAUCUUUCUCCCAAACUUCUCCUGAAAUGCACCUAGUCUUUUCAUAAGUAUCCGCUUCUGCCGAUGCGAUAACAUAAGAAGAGUCCCCUGGGACGAUCUCAAUCUUGUCACCUACCCACUGAACCAAGCACUGAUGCAUUGUAGAUGGGACACAACAAUUGGCAUGAAUCCAAUCUCUCCCCAAUAAUAAAUUGUAGGCACCUUUUCCGCUGAUCACGAAAAAAGUCGUCGGUAAGGUUUUGCUGCCGAUGGUCAACUCUGCACAUAUCGCCCCCUUGACUGGAGACACGUUUCCCUCAAAGUCUUUGAGCAUCAUAUCGGUCUUGGUCAAAUCUUGAUCCCCUUUCCCAAGCUUCCGAUAUACUGCAUACGGCAUAUUAUUAAUAGCAGCUCCACCAUCAACUAGGAUCUUAGUCAUUGGCUGCCCAUCAACCCUUCCUUUGAGGAACAAGGCCUUAAGAUGCUGCCUCUCGUCAUCGGCAGGUUUCUCAAAGAUGGCCGUCAUCGGAUCCAGAGCCAACUGAGCUAUCUGAUCAGAAAAUUCCAACUCGUCGUCACUGGCUGGUGCAAGAAACUCCAUCGGCAACAUGAAGACCAUGUUGACGCCAGCCGAUGGACCUUCCCUCUUAGUGUCUGACGGCUGCCGACUUCCAGAGUUCUCUCCUUUAUUUAGCUCUUCCUGCCUUUCACGUUGCAACCUCCUUUUCUGCGUCUUGGUUAAUCCUUGAGGGCACCAUGGAGGAAGUGGCCUUUGCCUUGCCGUCGGGCGUUGGUUCCCUCUUGACUCCAUGCGAUGCGUGUUAGCAUCCCUGCAAAAUAUGAAUUCAUCGGGAACCCGCGCAUCAACCAUUCCUUCGAGCUCCUCUUGGUUCCUGGGAAAAUACCGGACACGGUCACCGAGCCGAUCGUGAACGCUAAGCCUGCCCCCCAGCCGAUCAUGAACUGACGCCCUUCCUCUGAUUGGCCCAUUAAAUCGCCGUUCACCAUCAUGAUAACGUCGAUCGGUUCUACCGUACCGAUCAUAACCGUUGCACUCAGGGCAGUCUCUGACAGUAGGAAGCUUGAUAUUUUCCUCCCAACAAUGGAUGAAGAAUGGACAAUUCCAAUGAUCCCUGUGCCGAUUCCACUCCUGUCGGCGUCUUUCUUCUUCCCGUCGAUAAUCUUCCUGCUGGCGCCGAUACCGAUCUUCCCGUUGUUGCCAAUUUCCUCGUGGCCUUCUAUGAGUUAUGACGAUACCAGACCGAGGAGGCCUUCCCGAGCUAGUUCCUUCCUGGACCAAGCCCUUAUUUCUUGCAUCGGCAGUAGUAACUUGAUGCUGAGGAUCUACCGAUGCACUCUUCUCAGCUGUUUCCGAUGUUAAGACCUUAGCCUUCCCCUUAGCGUCCAACAUGUUUGUCGGGAAAGGAUGUUGGUCUAUCUUCAUCGGCUUCUGGGCUUUAGAACUGUCAAACUUGAUUCUCCCUGACUCUAUAGCCGAUUGCAGCUGCUGUCUGAAUACUUUGCACUCGUUGGUGUCAUGUGAAGUCGCAUUAUGCCACUUGCAAUAUCUCAUCCUCUUCAACUCUUCUGCCGACGGGAUCACGUGGUUAGGUGACAGUUUGAUUUGACCUUCCUGAAGUAGAAAGUCAAAUAUCCUAUCGGCCUUGGCGGUGUCAAAGGCGAACUUCUCUGGUUCCUUCUGCCCAAAAGGACAAGACAUCGGCUUCUUGUUUUUUACCCACUCGGCCAAACCGAUUACUGGUUCCUCAUCGGAAUCUGAGCUUGUUGCUUGGCAACAAAUGACACUUUCUUAUUCCAUGCCCUCUUAGGCUCGAAAGGCUUGAUGUCUUGAUCAGAUAUCCUCUGUACCAAAUGACUUAAACUUUCGAACUCCUGGGAGGCAUACUUAUCCCUGAUAUGUGGCAACAAACCUUGGAAAGCCAAAUCGGCUAGCUGCCGAUCAUCCAGAACCAGGCUAUAGCAUUUAUUCUUGACCUCUCGUAUCCUCUGCACAAAUCCUUCGACCGACUCAUCAUUACGUUGCCUCAACUUGACCAAGUCGGUGAUCUUCUUCUCAUGAACCCCCGAGAAGAAGUAUCUGUGGAAUUGCUUCUCUAGAUCGGCCCAAGUAAUUACUGAAUUGGGAGGUAAUGAUAUGAACCAAGUAAAGGCCGAUCCAGACAAUGAUGAUGAAAAUAGACGAACCCUCAAUUCGUCCCUGUUACCAGCCUCUCCACAUUGAAUAAUGAACCUGUUGACAUGCUCCAUAGUUGACGUGUCGUCCUGUCCAGAAAACUUUGUAAAAUCCGGUACCUUGUACCGAUGUGGAAGCGGGAUCAAAUCAUACGCUGGAGGAUACGGUGUCCGAUAAGAAUAAUUGUUGACUUUGGGUUUUAUCCCAAAUUGUUCCCUCAUUACUUCAGCAAUCUUAUCGGCCCAAUACGCAUUGGCAUCUUGCCGAUGAGGCGGCUGCGGAUCUGGCACUUGGUGGCGAACCUCCACGUGUCUGUUUGGGACGUGACCUGCAUGGAACAUUGUAUUGGUCACCUGUCCUCCAAUCUGCGGACUACCAAACUGCUGUCCACCGAUUGGCUGUCCUCCGAGUUGCUGCCCAAAAUUUAUUGGCUGGUUGGGAAUCCCCUGACCUUGGAACCCGGGAUAGACCUGUCCUUGCUGGAACCCUGUAGUCUGAUAACCCUGCUGGGGCGAUUGUGGAAAGGCUUGCUGUCCAAGCCAUCCAUUAUUAGCGUUCAUCGGCAUAGGUGCUGCCGAUGAUUGGUAAUUGGGUACCGUCGUUGAAUUGACAUACCCCGACUGGGCCAUAGACCUCUGUUGCAUCAGCAUUGACUCUGCCGAUGCGUUGGGCAUCUGGAACAUUGAAUCUUGAGGAUUCCCAGUGUAAGGCCGUGCAGUAGUAGUUGUGGUAUACCGAGGACUCUGGUUCACCGGCGCAUUGGGAGGUGCCGAUGUCAUAGGAGUUUUGCCCCUCAUGUCAGUUACUUGUGAUGUUCCCGGCGUCAACUCUGGAGGCAUACCAUAACCCCACCAGUUGGGAGGAAGAUUUAACCCUGACAUUGCCGAUGCCAACAUAUCUGUUGUCAGUUUAUGCUGCCCAACUGAAAUUUGGGGGUUGGUUGCCAUCGGCAUAGAUAGUGCACCAGUAGUCCCCAAUGUACUUGGAGGGACGGCAGACUGUGCACUUGCAUUCGUCAAGGCAGCCGAUGGAGCCGUGACCUCUGGUGCCGUUGGCUGAUGAUGGGAGGGCCCCACAUAAUCUGGCGGGAUUUGUCCUUCCUUGAAAGUUCUUGCCACGGCGUUGAAAACCGUAUUAGACAGUACACCAGCUUGGUUAAUCAACGCUCGAUUGAUGGCAUUGUCAACCAUAUCUUGAAGCUUGCCAGGAUUGGCGUCGAAGGUGACCUGCCGUGGUGCCGGCAGUGCAUCUUUCUGGACCACUUCGCCGCUCCUGUUUAUGCUGAAAGACUUCAGGCAUUGCUGCUUGAACUCUUCCAUGGCUUGGGCAAUAGCUUGCUUUUGCUCAUCCUUGAGGUUGGCUUCCGUCACGGGGAUGACGUUCUCUUGAUCGAGGUCAGAGAUCGACAUGUUGAUCUUGAUCUUGAAUCUGUCCCACCGGGCGUGCCAAAAGAUGUGUUGAUGCAAAACUGAUCUGCAAACACAAAGGGCUAAUACCCGAUUCAAACGUUAAGGCGUGCCAGCCGAUUUGACCUUGCUAUCGGCAAAGGUGAUAACUCGAAUACUUUAGUCCUGACAACAGCGAUGCGCCCAGAUGCCACGGCUAAGAGGUAUUCACGCGGAACUCGGGAACACGCCGAGCUUAAGUCGACGAAUUCCUAAGAACUCGUAAUAAAAAGAAAAAAGUAUGACGAAGUCGUCGAAAAAGUAGAUGCUGGAAUAUGAGUAAAACGUGUGUUUGAUUGAUUUCUUGAUAUCUUGAUUACAAGGUCCUAGGGUUUAUAUUUAUACCCUGCUUAAAGAGCUACGACCAGACACGAUUAGAAUUCGAAUCCCAAAUUACACGGAAUCCGUAUACAAAACGAUGCAAAUAACUAAGGAAAUAAUAAAACUAUCCUUCGUGACAAACCGAAACUCCUCCAGAUGACAACUGGCAGCUUCCGGACUCCUCCUUCGCGUCAUCGGCAAUCCCCUUGCCAUAGUCAUCGGCAGACCUUUUUACCCAGCCAUCAGCACCAUAUUACUGCCUGUGGACUUAGUCACAUUCAACCUCUCCCUCAUCGGCAACCAUCCUCAUCAGCAACCCGCAUUGUACUGCCACCCUAUCCUGCCAUCCUGGACACGUGCCCAAAAACGGUGUCAACAGGGUCUCCUUAUAUAGUCCUCCCCUUCUAUGCGUUUUUGGGUCGAUAGGCGAGGUGGUACUAUGUUUUCCUUGAUCCAAUAGGUCGGUGGAACAUCCCGUGCGAAGAGAGUCCUGACUGGCAUCCAACAGGGGGCGGGCGCCCAGGUCACCAGGGCGGGCGCCCUAGGCCUGGCCCCUUUCGGCCUCCGCUUCCUUCCCGUGGCUUCUGGAGUCUUCUAGAUGGUAGAAAAUUGCGCGGUGCGUUGAUAUCUCUAUGUAAUCCCGACAUGAGGGCCUUUCUUCCGUAUUUCCUGAUAACCCCCUGCAGAAAUAGACAAACACCAAAACUCGUGGAAUUCUGUCAGAUAAAACCCUAAGUCUAGAUGUUGAUUUCAUUUAGAUCCUUUUCUUUGUUUAUUUGAUAAUUAAAUUUGAUACUUAAGGACCGUCAACAGGGAACUCAGUAACAGGAUGAUACUAGUUAUUCAAAUCAAGCAAGGAGGCGUGCCUGUCCUGAACUCACAGUAUGGUUGAUCAGGCAUGAAGCAUAACGAGCCUUACAUUUUAAGAACUAGGCCGAACAUGGGGGACUAUGUAGACAAUCACGGCUGUCACCACCUCGUGUUACCCCAGCUAUCUGUGGGUCUAGCCAUAUCUGAAGGUAAGCCUGUAGCCUAAGCACCGUGCUUAAUCUAUAUUCCUACUAUCUUUACCCGAGCUCUGAAGUAAAGACAACCUAACCAUAGGACAGAGCAAUUCCUUAACUUGAACAACUAACAGUAAACUAACUAAGCAACCUAUUGCCACACAAUGAAGCACCUAAGCUCACUAAUGAUAUGAUCACUAUAAACUAAGUACAUGAAAAGUAAACAAUCAAUAUAGCCCUCAAAUACUAAAAGUAGAUGAUAAAUGAUAAAUAAAUGAAUACUAAGAUAGCAAAGAUAUAAUACUAUAAUUGAGAGGAGGAAGACUCUUCCCACCUCCAUGCUGAGCAACGCCUGGCUACUCUUACCGCUUACAACUCCGAGCUACUAGAGCUAGGCUAAGCAAGUGGCAGAGAGGCUCUGGAGCUAAGCUAGGCUACCUAAGUGAGGGAACUACUUGAGACUACUACACUAACCCUUGCUCUACUAAGCUCUAUGUUCUAUGCUCUACGUUCGGCGGUGUGUCGUCACCUCUGCUCCGGCUCCUGUGUUGGACCCUAUACCGCUCGGUCCACUGGUUAUCGAGGUUCCCCAUCGACAUCUACUAUUUUAGUACAGCUGGAUCCUCUACGGCCUCAAGCAAGCUCCUCGAGCGUCGCACUAGUGUUUCACCAUGUACGUUCGAUAGCUCGGCUUCGUUGCCUCUACCACGACACCUCCCUCUUAAUUUUCACUAAGGGUGGUACCAGUGCCUACUUACUGCUGUACAUCGACAACAUUGUUGAAACUUCUUACUGACACUAGCAAAUGAUAGAGGUUAACUAUUAUCCUAGCAAUAGUACUAGAAGCGUCGGGUCGAUAGUUCUUAGCUACACCUAUAGUGAGGCUAGAGUUGGCUAGUCUACUAAUGCCUAGUGGGGUUGUCAAUACCGACACUAAUAGGGCCAACAAGAGUGAUUGCAAUCUAUCUAAGAUGAAUGAGACCUGUAAGCGCACAGAGCUAUCAUGUGUAGCACUUCGCCUGAGAGUAACCAGGUGUCAAUAUAUAAUUUCCCAAAGGAAGGCUAGGGAGCUAUGGCAGAGUUGGGAAAGAAUAGAUAAUCGGAGUUAAGAGUGGUAAGGAGUGGAUUGGCUAGCAAGAAUGGAUGGAUGAGUAAGUUAAUAUGUGGAUAAGAUAAUUAAGAAAAGAUAACUAACAUAAUCUACUAACUAACCUAAGGCGGUUGAGGGAUAAAUAAGAGCGGCAGUAGUCUAGGGAAGUAAGUAACAGGAUAAUACUAGUUAUUCAAAUCAAGCAAGGAGGCAUGCCCAUCAUGAACUCACAGUAUGGUUGAUCAGGCAUGAAGCAGAGCGAGCCUUACAUUUUAAAAAUUUGGCUGAACGUGGGGGACUAUGUAGACAAUCAGGGCUGUCACCACCUGGUGUUACCCCAGCUAUCUGUGGGUCUAGCCAUAUCUAAAGGUAAGCCUAUAGCCUAAGCACCACGCUUAAUCUAUUGUUGAUGCAAAAGUAGAUCUGCAAACACAAAGGGCUAAUACCCAAUUUAAUGUUAAGGCGUGGUAGCCGAUUUGACCUUACAAUCGACAAAGGUGGUAACUCGAAUACUUUGGUCCCGACAACAGCGAUACGCCCGGAUGCCACGGCCAAGAGGUAUUCAGCGGAACUCGAGAACUCAUCAAGUAUGACUUGAAGAAUUCUUAAGAACUCGUAAAUAAAAGAAAAGAUGCGAGUUGACGAAGUCGUCGAAAAAGUAGAUGCAAAAGUAGACGUAAAGCUUGUAUUUGAUAUUGAUUGGAUUGUCCUCUUACAUCGCUACUAGGCCUACAUUUAUACUCUGUCCUAAAGAGUUACAAUUAGAUACGACUAGGAUUCUAAUUCCAAACCAAACAUAAUUCAUACAUAAAAUAAACUCUAACAAUUAUAGAAAAUAACAAUUUAUCUAUUCUAGGCGAUUGGCACACCAUCAUUGUCUUCCCGAUGAUUCCCACGUCUUCCUUCACUAUCAUCGGUGUAUCACCUUUCAUUGGCAUCAGCAAUCAUCAGCCAUCGGCACCGAUCAACCACUGUUUCCGGUCUUAACCACAUCUCCCUUCUGCCGCCUUACCAUUGGUACUAUAGGCCAUCGGCAACUUCCUUAUUUGCCAACCAUUACAUCUCCUUCUCCCGAUCCAUGUUUCUUUAACUUUCCUGAUUAGUGUCAAAAUACAGUGUCAACACAUGCCCCCCAAUUUUAGAGUAUAAAAUCAUUAAUGCUCCAAAAUUCUUUCCUAAUAAUGAUGCCUUUUCAAAAUUAUUUCCUUUUGACAGCAAUUAAUUACGAAAUCCAAACAACCUUAACCCGGAUCCUCAGCAUACACCUUGAAUCUCACAACCACCUGAACCAAAUCUCCUAAACACACGCUCAUCAACAACCGUUCUGUUAGAGUUGGCUGCCGAUGAGCCAACCAAGGGAUCUCGCAUAGUGCAAUAUCUCCUAAAAUCAUGAUUACUUGCUGUCAAAUCAGCUGCCCAAUCCCUUGAUUAUCGCGCGAACAGUUACUGUUGACGGUCCUUAAGUGCCAAACUCAACUGUCAACAAAACAUGGAAAAUGAUCAAUAUGCACCAAACAUCUAGAAUUAGGGUUUCAUUUGAUAGAAUUCCACGAGUUUUGGUAUUUGUCUAUUUCUGCAGGGGGUUAUCAGGAAAUAUGGAGAGAAGGCCCACACGUCAGGUUUACAACGAGAUAAUUACGUGCCGCGCAAUUUUCCUCAACCUAGAAGAGUCGAGAAGCCACAGGAGCGAACGGGAGGCUAGACGGGGCCGGGGGCAGGGCACCCGCCCAACCCCCUUGGGUGUGUUGGGUAUUCUUAACAUCAUUACCAAAAGUAGACUAAGUUCCCUAAAUCUAGUAACGGUGCCAAAAAUGCCAAACCUAUCCCUCACACCACUUAAGCCAAGUUGUCAUCCCCAGCAUGACAUGAGAGACGCGGUAUUGAAAUAUGCAAUUGCUCUUUUAAAUAAAUAAUGAAUGGGAUCUGCAAGCACACAGAUUAAUACCGAUGUAGCAUUUUAACCGGGAAGUAUUCCAGGUAUCGUUAUUUAUAUUUUUACCACUGGGAAGGGAUUAGCAAUCAUCAAUAUUGAUUACAGAAUAGAAUACGAGAUUGAGCAUCCAUCAUUGCAUAUAUAAUUGAGAACAUUUAUCUAACUCUUCAUACAAGGAUAAGUGUCACAUAAAAGAUAUAUGAAAUAAUGAAUAGUGACAAAGGUAAUUAAUCUGAUCAGCCACAUAUAAAUAUGAUAAGCACCUCAAUUAGAUACUCUAGAAAGUCAUUAGCAUGGUAUUAGAACGAACUACAAGAAUAUUCCCUAAGUUAUUCUUAACUAUAUAGUCUAGCAUAUCAUAGUUAGUGCAAGCAUACUUAGCAAUCAUUGUGAGACAAGACUACGCCCAUGCAUAGUGAUAUUAGCAAGGAAUAUGAGAAACAUAGCAAUCACUCCCCUGUAAUAAUGUUGCUCUGCCAGCCCAAUACACGAGAGGGGGACUAUAUAAGAAUCAAUGAAGCUGUCACUAUCACGAACUACCCCACGAUCUGGCAUAUUGGGUACAAUCGCAGAUAAAUACGGUAUAAGCACCACGCCUACAUAAUAUCUAUCAUUUACCCAUGGAUCCGAUGGAUAAACGCUAUACGAUCCUAAGCAUGUAUGUAGAUCCAAUUUAACUAAGCCAAGUACAUAACUAUGAUAAACUAAGAACAAUAUAAUCUUGAAUAUAAGCAUGUAGAGCAAAGUCAUAAGCAAUAUAUUGAUGUAGAACAAAGUCAUAUUCACAAUAUUGAAGAACAAAGAUAAUUAGAAAGUAAUUAGAAGCACAAUUAGAGAAUUACCAAGAAUCCUCUUGACAGAUCCGGAAACCAAUCGAAGAUUGGCUCCUUCUAGUUCUAAUCAUAUGUAGCUAUGCUAAUCUAGAUAUCUAACUGAUGUGGUGGCUCUAAUCUUGAUCAGAGGCUUCUUCUCCCUUGAGAAUAAUGAAUUAGGGUUGAGAGGCUCUGUCCUCCAGGGGCCAGGGGGUCUGGUUUUAUAGUCCCUUUAAGUGAAUAUGGGCCGUUGGAUCAAACCGACAUAGAUUGUAUGGUUUAGAUUCAUCCUUUAGGUCGGUGGAGAUCUCCCACGAAGCAGAGUCCUGAUUGGACUCAGGGAGGGGGCGGGCGCCCAGGGGAACAGGGCGGGCGCCCUGCCUCUGGCCCCGUUUCGUCUCCGCUUCGGUCUCUUGGUUUCUGGAGUCUUCAAGAUGUAUGAUAAUUGCACGGCACGUUAAUAUCUCUAUGUAAUCCCGACGUGUGGGCGUUUCUUCCGUAUUUCCUGAUAACCCCCUGCAGAAAUAGACAAACACCAAAACUCAUGGAAUUCUGUCAGAUAAAACCCUCAGUCUAGAUGUUGAUUUCAUUUGGAUCCUUUUCUUUGUUUAUUUGAUAAUUAAAUUUGAUACUUAAGGACCGUCAACAGGGUGCCCACCCAGCCUCAGUGGCCAAUCAGGCCAGGUCACGCGUAUCAUGCUCCACCGCCUCUAAUCUUCAAGGAAUACCGUGCGAUUAAGGUCGGUUUGAUCCGACGGCCCACAUUCAUUUGAGGGGGCUAUAUAAGCAAGGCCUCUCCACCCUAGGGGAGGAGGGAAAAUAAUUAUCAGAGGAAGCCAUCAAAGUUAGGGUUUUGGAAGUUCUCUCUCAUAGAGAAUUAGAAUUAGCUACUCCCAAUUCCUUCAAGUUCUAUAGGAUUGAUUAGAUAGAAUUAGAGAAGUAGAGCAUUACGCUCUGGAUUUCGAAUCUUCAUCAAUAAAGAUUGGUAUUAUUUCAUAUCUUUCUCUACUACUUUAUUCUAAUUGCAUUAUGUCUCUAUUUAUUAUGUUCUUAGUUUGCUCUAGUUCUAUAUUUGAUAUAGUUAUGUUUGAUAAUAAGUUCAUGUAUAAGUUUGCAAAGCGCUUAGCUCUUGACUCGAGGGAGCUAAGUGGUAGAUCAUAUGUGGGCGUGGUGCUUAGAUAUUUUUUACCUGCAAAUGUAUCCUAUUGGCCAGUUCGUGUGGUUGUUCGCGAUGGUGACAGCUUCGUUGAUUCUUAUAUAGUCCACCCUCAGUCAGUAGGACAGGAAGAAUUUGUAUUGCGGAGUAAGUCUUGCUAUGUUCUGAUUUACUUUAGCAAUGUUCCUUAUACAUGAAUAAAGAAUCUUUUGUGCUAUAUAUGAUAUUGUAGAUGCCUAGAGUAGAUUGUGACUUAGUAGAUAGUAGAUACUUAGAAUGGAUUCUCUAGCUAAUCCGACGUCGCCUCACAUUUAUGUGGAGUAGUAUAUUUCUAAUCGAUACCUUAGUUCUCUUGUUGCUUUUAUUCUCAUCGGUAACUCACCUCCUCUUUUUUUGAACAGGUCGACAACCCGCCACCGACAGUCAGCAGAAGCGGAAAGCCGAUCGAGCUCCUUCCAUCAGGCCCGAUUUCUCUGAUCGGUCACGACGCACCGAGCUUGGCAACUCUAAUGCACCAGAAUGUGCAUUUCAAGAAGGUGACCACCAAGCGAUCAAAGACAUCUCCAUCGGUUGCCGCUGCUAUCUUGGCACAGGCUUUCAACGUAAAUUUCUGAUUUCCUUUGCUUAUACCGAUUCGGUUCCAUACUCACAUAAACCUUUCAGGAUACAUCGGCUGCUAUGGGAACCUCAUCGGUAACUUUUAUCUUCUAACAAGAUUUUCAUCAACAUUCUUUCAUAUUUGGACUCAUGAAAUCUUGUUUAUUAUACUAGCAAACUGGCAAAUCGGCAAAGACCAGAAACACCAAAACAAGUGUCGAUGCCCCCCAGUCAAGCCAAGCCAAGAGAAAAGGCCCCAAGAGCACUAAGUUGCAACCAAAACGCUAGAAGACAGCACUGCCUUCCCCUCUUCGUCGAGUGUCGCCGAUUCAUGUGAAAUCGUCCCCCUCUUCACCAGAAAUCCAGACACAGCAAGCACUGUCCCCUCCUCAACCAACACCUUAGCCACAAGAAGCGCCAACCGAUGUGCUUGAGCAGACUGCCGAUCCAGAGGAUCUAAUCGUAUCAUCGGUUGUCCCUUUAGAACAGACAAGUACUGUACCCCCUCAAGGUAAAAUACUGACCAUAAAAUUAUCGCCGAUAAAUUUAUUUUUUUUCAAACUAUAAUCACUAUCAUUAUUUCUCAGUUGAUAUCAUUCCAUCAACAAUUUCAGCCGACCAACCCAUAGUACCAACAGCAUCAUCAAGCCAACGGCGUGAGACCGCUCUGAAGCAAGUAAGACAUCUAUUCCCCAUCUCUUUAUCACUAGUACUUAACCAUCAAAUGACUUACUUUUAUCUUCUUUCAGGAACAAGACUACCCAGAUAGCUUAUUUUCCUUUGGAAUCGAGAUUUCCGAUGAUGAGGGCGAGGAAGCAAGCUCAUUGUUGGGUAUUCUUAACAUCAUUACCAAAAGUAGACUAAGUUCUCUAAAUUUAGUAACGGUGCCAAAAAUGCCAAACCUAUCCCUUACACCACUUAAGCCAAGUUGUCAUCCCCAGCAUGAUAUAAGAGACGCGGUAUUGAAAUAUGCAAUUGCUCUUCUAAAUAAAUAAUAAAUUGGAUCCGCAAGCGCACAGAUUAAUACCGAUGUAGCAUUUUAACCGGAAAGUAUUCUAGGUAUCGUUAUUUAUAUUUUUACCACGGGAAAGGGAUUAGCAAUCAUCACUAUUGAUUACAGAAUAUAAUAUGAGAUUGAGCAUCUAUCAUUGCAUGUAUAAUUGAGAACAUUAUAUCUAACUCUUCAUACAGGGAUAAGUGUCACAUAAAAGAUAUAUGAAGUAAUAAUAGUGACAAGGAUAACUAAUCUGAUCUAGCCACAUAAUAAAUAUGAUAAGCACCUCAAUUAGAUACUCUAGAAAAUCAUUUGCAUGGUAUUAGAACGAACUACAAGAAUAUUCCCUAAGUUAUUCUCAACUAUAUAGUCUAGCACAUCAUAGUUAGUGCAAGCAUACAUAGCAAUCAUUGCGAGACAAGACUACGCCCAUGCAUAGUGAUAUUAGCAAGGAAGAUGAGAAACAUAGCAAUCACUCCCCUGUAAUAAUGUUGCUCUGCCAGCCCAAUACACGAGAGGGGGACUAUAUAAGAAUCAAUGAAGCUGUCACUAUCACGAACCACCCCACAAUCUGGCAUAUUGGGUACAAUCGCAGAUAAAUACGGUAUAAGCACCACGCCUACACAAUAUCUAUCAUUUACCCAUGGAUCCGAUGGAUAAACGCUAUACGAUCCUAAGCAUGUAUAUAGAUCCAAUCUAACUCAGCCAAGUACAUAACUAUGAUAAACUAAGAACAAUAUAAUCUUGAAUAUAAGCAAGUAGAGCAAAGUCAUAAGUAAUAUAUUGAAGUAGAACAAAGUCAUAUUCAUAAUAUUGAAGAACAAAGAUAAUUAGAAAGCAAUUAGAAGCACAAUUAGAGAAUUACCAAGAAUCCUCCUGACAGAUCCGGAAACCAAUCAAAGAUUGACUCCUUCUAGUUCUAAUCCUAUGUAGCUAUGCUAAUCUAGAUAUCUAAUUGAUGUGAUGGCUCUAAUCUUGAUCAGAGGCUUCUUCUCCCUUGAUGGAACAAUGAAUUAGGGUUGAGAGGCUCUCUCCUCUAGGGGCCAGGGGGUCUGGUUUUAUAGUCCCUUCAAGUGAAUAUGGGCCCUUGGAUCAAACCGACAUAGAUUGUAUGGUUUAGAUUCAUCCUUUAGGUCUGUGGAGAUCUCCCGCAAAGCAGAGUCCUGAUUGGACUCAGGAGGUGGGCGGGCGCCCUGACCAACUGGGCGGCCGCCCAGGGUCUGGCCCCAUUUCGCCUCCGCUUCGGUCUCGUGGCUUCUGGAGUCUUCUAGAUGUAAGAUAAUUGUGCAGCACAUUAAUAUCUUUACGUAAUCCCGACAUGUGGGCCUUUCUUCCGUAUUUCCUGAUAACCCCCUGCAGAAAUAGACAAACACCAAAACUCGUGGAAUUCUGUCAGAUAAAACCCUAAGUCUAGAUCUUAAUUUCGUUUGGAUCCUUUUCUUUAUUUAUUUGAUAAUUAAAUUUGAUACUUAAGGACCGUCAACAAACUCCCCCAAGCUUACCUCUUGCUCGUCCCUGAGCAAGGAUAGACUCAGCUAUGGAUCAUAAGUUGUUGCAAUAUUUUUAAAAAAUAGACGGUACACAUGCCUUUAAAUAAGAUCUCAUCUCUGAGUUAGAGUAAACUAUCAAGACUUAAAACUUACUUACUUUACCUCCACCAUGGGACUUGUAACUGCCACUUUCGUCUUGAGUGGUUAAAAGAUAGAACAGUCUAGCCAAGUGCCAUGUCUCUUAUUCUUGAUCAGCUAUAGCUCUGGGGUUUUUUUGCAGAUUUUCAAAUAAAACUCAGAGAUUCCUUGUAUGAUUCUCUCAGGUCUCUCUUUUGUGGUAUUUUUGGAUCCUUACCAAGGCAUUGAUGGUAUAUGCCUUCUCUCAAGAUAUGUAGUAUUUGUGGUAUAAGGCAUAGUGACAUUGCCUUCUCUCUCACCCUACUCUAAUAAGGCUUUAAUAUCUCGAGCUCAUAGGUGGGAGAUAAAGUAUACAUACUCACAAGACAUUUAUUGCAUAGUCAAACCAUGGAUCCAAAGAAACAAAUCAAUAAGCCAAAUCAAGAUGUGCAUGUGUGGCGAAUGAAUGGUGUAUGGUGAUGAUGGUGAUAACAAUGGUGAAAACAAUGGUGGUGGAAGUCUAAUUCUACUUUGCUCUUUUGAGGGGAUACAUACCUUCCUUGCUUUUGAAACUUUAUGAGGAGAAUGAGAUGCUCUUCUUUUUCUUGUCUCUCAGGUGGGUAUCUUGCACCCCUAAUUCUACUGUCGGACACUUGUCCAUUUUUACCUCUCGUCUCACUCUUUCUUUUCUUUCGAGGUUCCGAGCACUUGCUCCUUUUUAUUUCCUCGUAUAUUUUUUUUAUUUUCUUCUCUUUUUUUUAGAGCACUCAUCUCUUGAGAUAAUAUAGCAAGUGGUAGUAACAAGAUAACUUGAGCAUUUAUUUCACAAGGGGAAACAGAAAUAUUUUUGGUUAUUCUCUCCCGGAUUAGGAGCAGAAUAUUUUUGGGUGAUUCUGGAGAUGGAAAUGGAUGGAUAUAUGUGGAUGGUACUUCCGGAGUAGAAGUAGCAUAUAUGAGUGAACGUGCAAGUGAAAUCUUGAUUUAACCAUAUGACAAGCUCCUAAGGGUCUACACAGCUUGACCACACUCAAUGCUCAUAAGCAGUAAAUAGUAAAUGUGUGGCUCAAAGUCUAGCAAGCAUGUAUAUAUGGCUGUGGUAGGAAUUUAAGCUCUCAUCAUACAGGAACUCAUCAUGCAACAUUUUAAAGAUUUUCAAAGAUAAAAUUCUCUAGAAUUCUAGCAUCUCUAGGAACAGAUAAACAGCUAUAUCUAAACUUGAGAGAGAACUUAAAAUUUGCAAAUUAGACAGAGCAACUAUUUAUCAUAUCCAUGCUUAAGUUUUAUUUGGAUACAGAUUAGCAUAGCCACUUAAACACACUAAGCAAAAGACAUAUAUAAGCAUAAAAUUUUUAUUUGGUUUUCCCAUAGUUUAUGUGUAUUUUAAUAUUCUAAAAUAAUAUAAGUCUAAAAAUAGAUAGAAAUACUUAUCGAGGUAAAUGGGGGUGCUCUCCCCCAAGCUGAAUUUUGACGUAAUUUCUCUUAAUGUAGCUAGCAGGUGGCAGAGGUGUAUUUGAAAGUUAGCAGCAUUCUGACAGCGAUUAGAAUGUCCUCCGUCUGCCAGUCUUCUUGAUUCUUAAAUUCUGUGGAGCUCAAAUAGACAACAUAGCUUGUGGAACUGAUUAAGUGUUAGCAUAAAUAUCUAGCCUUUAUUAUGUUGAGACUCCUUAAUAAUUGUUACUCCCUGUUUUUAUAUUUUUGUUUUUAUAAAGAAGAAAAAAUAUUUAUUUUAUUUUUAUGCCACCACAGUGAAUGUACUUAUGGGUUUUAUGCCACUCGUCUACUCACAUGGGGCUUACUGUUUUUCACAUUUUUAUUUUUUUUUAGAAUAGCAUGAACAUAAUCAACUAAGUAAACUAUUUGAAAUAAUUGAAAUAAUUGAAAGGGAAAGGGUAACUACCAAGUUUACCUCUUGGCAGGGCGUUCGGUGUUUUUAAGUCCUCCGAACGGGACUCUCCAAUUUCUUAAUCGUCCUGAGGUUCGUUGGGUGGUGAAGUCGGUACUUCCGGUAGCGCCACCUCUUCAUGUAUAGUUAUCUUCAUUUUCCAUACCUGACUCGGUGCUUCAAUCUCCUCUGGAUAAUUCUGUUUAAACUCCACGUCUUCUGACCUUACAACUUCUCCUUCAUAGUCUGCCCAUCCGUCCUUGAUGAUCUGCCUCCUCUGGUUGCGGUUGCGUCUCUUUCUGACCUGCUUAGAUUCUUCAAUGAUAUAGUUAGGGUCAGUAAAAUAACGGCGUACCUUCUCUGAGGGGAAGUGCAUAUGGACUUCUCCGGUUCCAAUGUAGAUAAUUGCUUUAACGGUGCUGAGGAACGGUCUUCCAAGGAUGAUGGGUGGAUCAUACUCGUCUUCUCCCAUGUCAAUAACUUGAAAGUCUGUGUAGACAAAGUGAUCGUCUAUUUUGACUGGGACAUCAGAUACUAUCCCUUGAACUUCUCGAAAUGUCUGAUCUGCCAUCUGGAGCUGAAUGUAUGUUGGUCUUAGUGGCAUGGUCCCGAACAAGAGCCGAUAAGUGACUGCGGCCAUUAUGUUGACGCCCGAUCCGGUGUCGCAAAUCGUCUUGUAGAAGUUAUAUCCAUUUAUGGAGCAGUAGAUGCUUGGCAUUCCUGGGUCAUCCUUCUUGGUCAAAAACGGUGACUUAAGUUGGUGAUCUUGGCCUCCAUGGACUACAGUGACCAUCUUAGCUGACUCGGUCCACACUUGCUUGUUCCUGUUCCUCCUGUUGGUCCUCUUCCCUGAUUCACGUCUGGAUUGAUCUGGAAUUUGUGUAGUCUUGUUCUUGAAGAAAAAUGUCUCCUUCUUCCCUUUGACGUAGAAACUGAUCUUGGCAGCACUAGCGUAGAUGAUAGCUCCCGUGGUGUUCAAAAAUGGCCUUAUUAGGAUGAUAGGUGCUCUCUCAUCAUUUCCGGUCUCUACCACUACGAAGUCUGCUGGGGCAUACAAGGUACCAACUCAGACACAAAGGUUCCUCACUAUUCCUUUUGGAAAAGUUAUCGUCUGAUCUGCAAACUGCAAACACAUGGUUGUUUCUAGUAAAGAAUAUGUAAAGAAUUUCUCAUAGAGUACCCUGGGUAUAAUGUUGACGCUAGAGCCAAAGUCACAGAGUGCUUCUGGAACGUCCACCAUGCCGAUGGAGAUCGGGAUGACGGGGCGUCCUGGAUCACCUUUCUUGACCGGCAGAAGGUCAGUAGAGAAUUCAUUGACGGGGUUACUCCAAUUACCUGCAUCAAACAUGUCUACAAGAUUUGCAGAUUGUAAUCCUUCCGGUUGUGAUGGUAUACCGGGGUUAGUAGUAGGAACAGCAGCAGCUAUUUGAUUUAACUG